rnacentral:lncRNA from 1 species
GGCUAACCUUGCUCCUGUGCAGGCGAUGUGUUAAGGUUAUUUGUUUCUGCAUAUAUGCACAUUACAUACGGAUUUUAAACAAACCCAUUCUUGACAGACUAAAAGUUAAGUUUAAUACAUAAAAUGUCCUGUUCACUUGAAAGAAAAAAAAAAUCUACUUUUUAAAUGGACACUAUCUUGUUUUUUGUUUUUUGUUUUUUUUAAAAAGUUGACUUUUUGUUUGUUAUAAGUGACCUUUGUCUGGAAUGUCUGAGACACGGUUAGUACUUUGGUAUUGAAGUGAUGGGUGACAGAAGGACUGAGAGUAUUGGCUGUAGAGGGGGCUCUACAGUAGCAACUAUUUUUAUAAACUACUGGCAAGGGGUGUCUCCAGGCGUUAGGUACAUGCUUUCAGUUUUCUUUGGGGCCGUGUCCUCCAUUUGCAUGGAUGGAUGCAUGCAUUGCCUAGGCAGCGCACUUCAUACCACUCCUGCACUGGUGUUGAUCUUGAACCUCUAGACUUCUCCACUGUUAGAGCUGCGCCGACAUUGAUUUAAGCACUCAGCAGCUUACCUGUCGGGAGAGAGUUGUCAGUCCAUUUGUCCUCCAGUUUUACAGGCACAAGAGACUGUUAGAGUCCAUUGAUGUAUCUCUUCUCUGUAGGGUUCAGGUGUACUGGCUAAGACAGAACCUCAAAUCCAAGGCUCUUUCUUUCUAUAGACAUCAGACCUCUGAUCUGACUCAGCUCUGUGCUCCUGGGUCAACCAUGACUUAGUAGGGACCCAACUGAGGGAAAGUUUGUUGAAGAAAAUUAUAUCAUGAAAAAAACAUUUCAUUUCUGGGGCAUGACCUGAGGGAAGCUUUUUCAUACCACUUUCAAGCUCUCACAUAAAUAACUCUGAACAGAGCUUUAGUCUUGUUUGCACUCCUGUUUUGAGCUUGUAACUGGAAAAGCCUGUCUUGCGCUGUCAGCCUCCUGAAUGGUCACUUUAACAACCUCCAAAUUGUAUAAAAUGGUUCUUUCUCCCGGUUGUAUAUUUUUGAAACAUUCAACUAUCACUGUCGUAUUUUUAUUUUAAUUAUGUACUAAAUUAUGUAGUUUUGUUCUUUUAAACAUCUGUUGCUUUGGACUUUGUUUAUUUAUAGUAAAUGUAGGUGUAAGAUGGUAAAAACUAUCCCUUUCAGGUGAAAGUUGACCCCUGUGUUACCUGAGGGUUUGGUAACCCCACAGUGGGAGAAAAGCACAAGGUUGUCAUCCGUCCAGCGUGACACAUUAUGCAUCCUUUAGGUUACUUUUACCAAGUGACACUCUCCUACGCACUCUUAAGUGUUGUCCCUUCGUGAUCCUGCCCUUGGGUUCUGUUCAAAUCUCUGACUUUGAAAGUCCAUCUACAAUGUAGUAUGUCUUCAGUGAGAAACCUUAGCAUGGUAUCCAAGUGUUUCAUGAUUUGUUGGGAAGGUAAUUUUAAAAUAAACAGUUUCCUUAAAAGAUUUGUCAGCAAGGUCAUCCAUAAAGGUCCCUGUCUGGAUCUUCUUUUCUCAGCAGGUCUCUUGCAAUCCUAGAAUGUAGCCAUAUCACCGUAGCCUUGGAGGAGGGCCACUGAGCGCUUAAGACUCCGAAGCAGCAGCAUACAGGAUUUCAAAGGAGAAUCCUUAUGCAUCAAAGAAAAUAAGCCUCAAAUUAUUUCUUCAAUAAUUAUUAAAAAUUUCUCAAACUAUAUCCAGCUAGCCUAAAUGUAGCCUCUAGUCUUCCAUGAGCUAGUCUGAUAAAGUGGCUUUUCUGAGCACUUACACAGUAAGCAGGAAGGGGUCUACAGUGCGAGCCUGUGAUCUCCAGCCCAUCAGACAGAGCUGUACUGUUUCAUGACUAUAACCUUGAGAAUAAAGCUAUGACUCGCUUGCCUUAAGCUUCCCUCAGAGUAGCUGACAUGCUAGGAGGUUGUCUUCGCCAUUUAUUAAGACAGCUAUUGGGGGUCUGUAAUGUUCACUUUGGGAGACCAUAGUGGUAUAUGGAGUCUCCAAAUCAUGCACUAUUUUAAUAGCUAAAACUGGCUUGCCCUAGGAAAACUUAACCAGCCACCUGGGAGAGAACGCUUGCAUUUCCUGGCAGGAUCUUCCUUUGUUUGCAUCAAACCAUUCCCAUGCCUAAGUUUGCCCACAGUCCACACCACACACAGGCGGCAUACACACAUGAAAAGAAUGGACAGGAGGGGAGGAGAACAGGCCCUGUCAGGCCGAGCCCUGCUUCGCUCCCCAGACACUUUGCUCACAUGGUUCCCAGCCAUCAUGGGUUACAGAGGCUCCAAACUCCCCUUGUGAUGUAGAGAGAGCCUGGAGGCAAGGGGGCCAUUAACUCCUGUUGUGAAGACUAUUUGGGUGCCCCAUGUCGAAAGCCACUGGUCCAAGUUGACAUUUUUUUUGGUAAAACAUGAUUUUUGGAGUACUGAACUCACAGGGGCUUGCCUUAAUUCAGUAGUUUCAAGAUGUAUGCGCUAUAUUCUAUGUGUUAAAAUGGUAAAAUAUUCUAUGUAGCCCCAAGAGUGGGUAAAACAGAGUUUAAUGCCUAAAUAAAUAAGCUAAAAAGGUGUCACAACAGCUGGAUUUUUUAGAGAAAAUGGACAUAUAAAAAAUAGGCUAUGCGUCAUGAACAGAAACUAUGGCACCUUGGGAUCGCACUACUGCAUGCACUGUUUUGUAUGCCAUUUCAUAGCCUGCACUUUAACCUCCAAAGAAAUGCUGCGUGGUGCCUGUCCCCUGUCAGUGAGCUUAUCCCGGAGUCGGCGCUUCUAUUUCACUCUGCUGAGUUAGUCUCCUAGCUGGCAUUCUUAUUUGGGUUCUCUGCUUCCUUAGCCAUAAUACUUUCUAGGAUCUGAGAACUCCUGUCUCGUCUAUUUCCAACAGUGUCAAAUCCUAAUUUAAUGUAGAUUCAUCCUUGCCGAUCCACACAGUCAUAGAUCCUCUUCUAGUGUGAAUACUUGUUCGUUGCCUGUACCAAACCCUCAGAAAGCAGACACUGUAAGAUCUGAAGGUGGGAAUAAAAGGCCUGAAAGGGGAACACACAAAGCGAUGCCCCUGCUGGAGAAUGGUGGAGUCUAACAGGAGGCUGAGCUUCCUGCUGAAUGCUUGAGAUCUGCAUGAGGUCCUUCGGGGCAGAAGAGGUUCCAUUAUAACUAACUUAAAUGUAGAGCCCGUCCUCGGGAAAUUAUCAACAAAACACUAAGUCCACAAAAGCCAGUGGCUGCUACUGGUGGAAGGUGGCCACUUCCUGCUCUCACUUUGAGCAGCCGUCCUUCACUCAAAUCGAAACUAAGGCACGCUUGAGUGAGGUUGGCCUUUCCCAAUUUCCCAAGAAUCCUUGUUAAAUUUUUAAAGCUCAAGCAUUAAAUUCACCUUCUUCCCAUUGUGUCAGAAGAUAGCCACGAGCUUUAGAAGCCUGGGAAUCAGGUCAGGCUAUUGCCAAAGUCUAGUGGUUCGUGCUGCCAAAAGGUUAGACAUGUUUUAAAAACUCCUUUAUGUGGUACCAUUGUCUGUUUACUUAAUGCUCAUGAGCAACAAUAAACCACUAGUUUACCG